rnacentral:rRNA from 1 species
UACAGAGGUCUCAAGCGUUGUUCGGAUUUAUUGGGCGUAAAGGGCGCGUAGGCGGCGGGGUAAGUCGGGUGUGAAAUCUCAGGGCUCAACCCUGAAACUGCACUUGAUACUGCUCUGCUUGAGGACUGGAGAGGAGACUGGAAUUCACGGUGUAGCAGUGAAGUGCGUAGAUAUCGUGAGGAAGACCAGUGGCGAAGGCGGGUCUCUGGACAGUUCCUGACGCUGAGGCGCGAAGGCCAGGGGAGCAAACGGG